rnacentral:rRNA from 1 species
AUGAACGCUGACAGAAUGCUUAACACAUGCAAGUCAACUUGAACUUCGGUUUGGGUGGCGGACGGGUGAGUAACGCGUAAAGAACUUGCCUCACAGCUAGGGACAACAUUUGGAAACGAAUGCUAAUACCUGAUAUUAUGAUUAUAUGGCAUCGUAUAAUUAUGAAAGCUAUAUGCGCUGUGAGAGAGCUUUGCGUCCCAUUAGCUAGUUGGAGAGGUAACAGCUCACCAAGGCGAUGAUGGGUAGCCGGCCUGAGAGGGUGAUCGGCCACAAGGGGACUGAGACACGGCCCUUACUCCUACGGGAGGCAGCAGUGGGGAAUAUUGGACAAUGGACCGAGAGUCUGAUCCAGCAACUCUGUGUGCACGAUGAAGUUUUUCGGAAUGUAAAGUGCUUUCAGUUGGGAAGAAAAAAAUGACGGUACCAACAGAAGAAGUGACGGCUAAAUACGUG